UUCUCCCUUCUCUUUUUUCCUUUUUCCUCUCUUUACUGCUUCCCCAAACCCUAAGAACUAUAAAUUCCGCCCCUCCUCUCUUGCGCUUCUCUCUCCCACGCUACUUAGAUCAGAUCUCUUUCACUUCUCCCCAAACCCUAAGAACUAAAAAUUCCGCCCCUCCUCUUAAUUCUCCUCAACACAGCAAUCAAAACCCAUAGGCCACAAAUAGCAAACAAACCCAUAGGCCACAAAUAGCAAACAAACCCGCAGCACUCCUCAACACAGCAAUCAAAACCCAUAGGCCACAAAUAGCAAACAAACCCGCAGCAACUCACAAGAACUGAAGAUCUGUUUUCAGUCUUUCUCUCUCCCUAGACCGGCGGCCUUUCUCUCUCCCUGCAGAGUGGAUUUCCUCAAGCGGAUUUCAGGUUCGCCAAAAAAGAAAGAAGCACCAGUGGCUUUAGAUUUCAGGUUCGCCAAAAAAGAAAGAAGCACCAGAUGGGUGUGAAGAAAGAAAGAAGAAAGAAGAAGAGAGUAAAAAAAAAAAAAGAGAGAGCCAGUCGUGGGGUGGGUCUGACUUGAUAGAGACAACUCAGGAGAAUGGGUCCCGUCAGAUUGGUUUUUUAUCAUCUCUGCCACUGAUCAGGAAGAGUAAUGGAAUAACAGCUACAUAUAUUUUUUUUUUGCUGAAUAUAACUCCUACAUAUUUAUGGAGACAGGGUAUAUAGUCCAGGGGCGGAGCCAGGGGACAGGUUGUGAUCUUUAUAUAUCAGUUAUGACAAACUUCUACACACACAUAAAUUAAUUUACUAGAAGAAUUUAUCAUCUUUUAAAUUUUAAUGAGCAUAUAAAGUCAUGUAUUUUUUCUAUUAGACAUGUACAAAAAUUUAUCAUUUUCUACAUAG